AUAGAUUUCAAUGGAUGCAGAAAGAAAAAGAUCUGGCAAUAAGAGCUGGUUUCUAGGCACGGGAACCUGACUCCUUGGUGACCUGGACAGAUGACACAUGGCCUGAAGGAAGAACACAAGGAGAGGGCUGGGGCAUGAGAAAAGUCUUAAGGAACAAGGCAGAAAAGCAAAAGGGGCUUCUGUCCUUGACUGCUGUAAUUAUAGCUCCAUGCACCGAGAGAUCUAGCAGCCCUUUUUGCUAAAAGCUCACAGCCAUUGGCAACCCUAGUCUGGCUGCACAUGCAUGCCACUGAGGCUAUGGUGUGGGGUUUUUUAAUUAGAAUUUGUUAAUCUGGUAUUUCCACAGCCAUGUCUGUUCUGGGUGCUCAGUGGAAGCUAAACUAUCAUGUUUGGUAUCUCUGUUACAAUGUAGGGCCGUGCAAGGUCAAGCUUUUCAACACAAUCACUGCCUUUGAAAAAGGGCAAGAGUUACCAUAAUGUUUGUAUCUCCCCAGGAAAGACUCUGGUCCCUCUUCUCCUGGAGCAGCUCAGCAGAGGAACACAAGGUCAUCACCUCUGGCACAGGUCACCCAACAGCAGAUCCUCAGAGGACGGACUAGUGCUCAGCAUCCUGGCACAUCAUUUACAUCUCUCUCUGCCACCAACCCUAAAAUGGGGACCAGGAUACAGGUCUGAAGAAGGUAAAGCUGUGACAGCAGCGAUUGAAGUGCUGUGCUGGCAUUGCAGUGAAGGGCAGGUACCACUUCCCAGCCUUCUAUGGGUCAGAGGAGCAAACCCCCAACCAGCCAAGCGAUGCAGACCUCGAUGGCAGCAGCACACUAUGAGGGGCACGGCUCGGGGUAAGAACAGAGAGCCCCACAGAGGAAGAAGGAGCUUAAAUGGCUACCAUACAUGAGUUAAACUGUAUAUUUAAAUCCUUUUAGCUGGAUCAAAAAUAGUUGGUUUGGCACGGAUAACAAGUUUAAAAAUUAAGUAUAUACCAAGUACUUUAAAAGUCUCAGCUCCUCUAAACAAAUGCGAAAGGCUUAAAAAUCCAACUUUAAAAUCCAGCCUUGCCACAAUUGCUGAAAAUGUCCUUUAAAGAUAGACCUUUAUGUGAGCAGAGCAGCUUCCUAAACUUGAGAGGAAGACAGCACAGAGCAGUAUCCUUGUUACCAUCAUAGGCAGAUGAGCAAGGGAGGUGGAAAACCAGUCAGCAGACAGUUGGUGUUUGAAGGGAAUUAAAUCUUUCACUUUCUGACCACACAGAUUAGACACGAGGAGAAAAUGUUUGCUGUCUUUGGUUAUCUUGUGGCACUGAAGAGCAGCCAUCAAAGGGAAACAGUGUGCCUUCUGGGAUAAUCGUUGGGCAAGGGACUGGAUGCAGCAGAUAAAGGAAGAUGACGCUUACACUGAGAGGCUGAGCGGCAAAAACCAAAGAUUAGUGACUGGGGAUUGCCCUCACCUAUGGGGAAAAGGAAAUGGUACGAGAAUGAAAGCAACGCAAAAACCUCAGGAAAUUUGGGAUCAUUGAAUGUAGUCUCGAAACAGCGCGUACUGCCUUAAAUUUCCCAUUGAAGUUUUGCUGUUGUGAUCAAGUUCACAUUUUGUAGUUUAUAGAGGAGGCAUUUGCUGCAGCUCAACUUUUGCAGUAUUUAUGUAGGCAAAAUUCCCAGUGUUUUAAGGGGAUUUUUCCAUGAGUAGGUAUGGGCUCUUUAGGGGUUACUUUCGACUGGGUGAGGACUUGGAGUCUGCACAAUUACCAUACCGUAAGUAUUAAUAGAUCCUUCCUAAUAGGAAAGUUAUUUGAAUUUAAGAUUGUAGCUUAGUUUCUCUAAACUCCACAUAAUCUAUUUACUUACACUACAGCUUUCCUUCUGCACUUCCUAAUCUCCAGCAGUAAAGAUUCAAAACGCCGCACAAGAUGCAACUCCUGUGUGUAUCAGUGGAAAUGGCACUGUAAGUAAGUAACGCCAUGCUCCUGGAACACAUUUAGUGCCAUUGCAAAGCCAGGAUUUGGUCCUGGGAGCAAUUCAGCCCAACUCUGCCCUAUAAUUGAGACCUAAUCAGUCCCUCCGUGGGCCAGCUCCUCUCUUCUGAAAGAUGGAGGGGUUUUGUUUCUUGCCUACCCUCGAGUCUGUACGUGCCAAGGUUUCAGAUCAGUGAGUGAGCCUGUGAGGAUGCUUCUCCACGUGACGGCCUCGCUUCAUUCAGCUCAGUGCCAAACUGAAAACAGUCUUACCCACCCAAGUCAGAGGUAUGUGCUGCCACUUUGCACCCCGUGCCGGCUCCUGAGCUCCUUUGAACCCCACCUCAGAGCCAAAUUAACUGGUUACCUUGUAGAAAACUAACUAAAGAAAAAAAGCAAAGUUUUGAUAGGUUGUCCUGUGUCAAUGAGCUGAAGAGCAGCAAGGCAGCUCCUACCAGCACCGGACCCAGCACAAGGGGAUGCUGAGGCUGAGAGAUGUGGGAUGCAGGGUGCGUGUAAAACAGGAACAGUAGCUGCCCUGGGGCACUCUGCAACCCAGAUAAAACAGCAGCAGACCUGUUUCCCAACACCAUCCUGAUCCAAGGACAAGGAGAUGAGUGAAGUUUGUACCCCUCUCCCCCAGACACUGGCAGGACUAGCUCCACGUAAGCCUCCUCCCCUCCCCUCUGACUCAGCCCUAAUGCUAUGCUCAGCUUUUCACUCUCCUUCCUCAGGCAACUCAGGUCACUUUUCUUCACUCCCUCCUCGCUGACUGGCAGCUUGAUAUCACUCAACACGCCCAACUGUCCGCGCCAGCACCCCUGGGAUACGUGUCCGCUCCCAUCUGAGCGCAGGAUACGGCCUCCCCCUCCCUUGCCAUGACUUCUCAGGCUGUCUCCCGAGCUCAGCACCCUGUAUCCCUCUCCCUGUGAAGUCUGAAAGUUUUGGGGCCCACAUGGAAAUUGUGGGAAGGUGCUGGAAGACUGUGAGGAGUUCGGUAAUGUACAGGGUGCUCCCGCUAGCCCGGCAGAGCAGCACCACAGCUUUGAGAGCAGAUAUUACUCCUGCUACGAGUUAAGUCAUUUAUUUGACAAUGAGACAGGGAAAGCCUGAAGGAAAGAGUCAGAGCAAGGAAACAUGCCUGGAGGGAAGCCUGGGCUGCCAUUCGAUGAUGUUGUGAGAUUCUUCUUUUUGUUCAUCCAGCAGUCCAAGGACCUCAGUGGCUUUUCUGACUCAGUCAGGACACAGUUCAGUGUGGGAAGGGUGGGGAUGCCACGUUCUUUCAUGCUGAGCCAGGAAAGGCCAUGCAAGCCAGGGUUUUACGUGGCAGCUCCAGCAGACUGAAGUUAUUUUAGAAUAGUUUGGUCUUUCUCCUCUUCUGAGGAGUUCUUUCUUAAUGUAUAUGCAUGAGUAAGCAAUUAGCUGCAAGGAUAGAAAGAUAUCACCGUGCAGGCCCUUUGCAGCAUUAAAAUGAAUCUGUUCCAGGUUAUAAACAGGUAAGUGCAUGGAGAUUCAACCACGUUUGGCUUUUGGGAAGAGCUGUUCCCGGCAAUAGAUGAUACCUACCAGAAUGGGCACAUCACUGCUCCUACGCACCCAUGAUGGAAGGAGGGAGACACCUCUGCUGCCCAGAACUGGGGGACCGUCAGGCAGCCGUGGCUGGGCUCACGCCAGCCCUAAGGCUGGACACAGUGAGAAGACCCAACACCGUUGUCGGAGGUGACUGAUCACGAGGCAACUCAAGCCUGGAAGCAUCGCAGCUUUGCCAAGUCCCCAAAGCCAAUAUGGGUGAGUUAUCUUAAUGUAAGCAUCCGAGACUUAAAUUAAAUAUGGUUUAUACGUGUGGGUAUAAUGCCAGGCUGGGAGGUUAUGUGCCAUUACAGCUUGCCCAAACGGUGUGCUAAGUUGGGGCUCCACCAGCGUGGAGAUUCCUGCCCCGUGCUCUGCUGUGACAAAGUUGAGGGAAGAAAGUACAGAACUUUAAAAUUUUUUACGGAAGUGCAAAUCCAAACUUCCAACCAUCUAUCUUCUUUUGCCUUGUCUACAGGCUUUAAAUUUCAUUGCAUCUUUCCCCGUUUUGAACAAAAAACCCCACAAACCAACCCGAACCCAAGGUUUUGGGGUUUAGUUUGAGGGAGGGUAAAAGACAAUGCUUAAUUACACUUAGCUCCAAAGGAUGUCUUAAAUUUUUAUAGAAAACUUCCAAAUUUUAAACCAAACCGAAAUAAACUAUGAUAAGGAAAUAAUCUUUCUUUUCCUUCAGGGUGCCUGAAAACUGCAUAACAUAAAAAUAACCCUAAACAAAAGUUGCUUUAAGAACCUUCUAUCUGAGAAAUGUAGAAGAAAACAACCACUAA